CCGGCGGGCGGCCAGUGGGAGGACCUCGCUCUAGCUGUGGGUGUGCUGGAGCUUCCCGGCCGGGCUGACGGCUCGGGGUCUGAGAGCCCCGGUGGUGAAUGUCUUGCCUGAAGGCCAGAUAAGGCCUACAAAAUUCAUCUGGUCUGGCCCUGCCAAGGCAACUGCAGGAAACAGAGAUAAGAAUAUAACUUCUGGAACCAGGCAGCCAUCUUGCAACUGUGAGGUCACAAGCAUUUGGACAUAAAAACAUUCUGAGGAAGGCAUAGUGGAAAAAAUAGAACCAUGUUUCUAAAAGACAGUGUUGAGCCCCUGCACGAAGCCAGGAACAUCCAUCUGCAGACUUAACUACUACAGGUGUGUUGUGUUGCUUAGGCUACUUUAUGGUCCUCUGUUCAUUGCAUCCUGGAUGAGACAUUCAGUGAGUGGCAAAGGGGUUUGAGCAACUUGCCAUCAAAAUUUUAUCUGGAUGUUGGGGCCAGCAUUGUGGCAUAGUGGGUAAAGCCGCUGCCUGCGAUGCUGGCAUCCCAUGUGGGCACCAGUUCGUGUUGUGGCUGCUCUACUUUUUUUUUAAGAUUUACUUAUUUAUUUGAGAGGAAGAGUUACAGAAAGAGAGAGGGAGAGACAGAGAGAGAGAGAGGUCUUCCAUUCGCUGGUUCACUCCCCAAAUGGCUACAACAGCUGGAGCUGGGCCAAUCUGAAGCCAGGAGCUUCUUCCAGGUCUCCCAUGUAGGUGCAGGGAUCCAAGCACUUGGGCCAUCUGCCACUGCUUUCCCAGGCCAUUAGCUGGGAGCUAGAUCAGAAGUGGAGUGGCCAGGACUCAAACUGGUGCCCACAUGGGAUGCCGGUGCUGCAGGUGGAGGCUUAAGGCUGCUAUGCCACAGUGCUCCGUUUCUGAUCCAGCUCCCUGCUAAUGGCCUGGGAAAAGCAGCAGACGAUGGCCCAAAUGCUUGGAUCCCUGCCACCCACAUGGGAAACCUGGAUGAAACUCCUGGCUCCUGGCUUCCGUCUGGCCCAGCACUGGGCAUCGUGGCCAUUUGGGGAGUGAACCAGCAGAUGGAAGAUUCUUUCUCUCACUGUCUCUGUAACUCUGAUUUUUCAAAAUAAAUGAAUGUUUCUUUUAAAAAAAAUUACGACAGCAAGUGAUACGGAGAAGCAACUGGAAUCAUGUCAGCUCUCCAAAAGGCAUAUAAUCUUUAACAAAACCAAGUCUGAAAAUGGUGGCUGUUUCUAACGUAAGAUAAAUGUGCAGUGGUUUAAAUGACACAAAAAUAGAAGAAGCAGGUUUGUACAGGUUAAUUUCCUAUCUUGUUUCUUGCUAAUCCUUUUGGUGAUGUUAGGAUGCCCAAUUUUCUACCAAGAAUUCCUUUCUUUGCUUCCUCCUUCUCAGCGUCUUGGAGGCUGAUGAAGAAUACGGUAGAAUGUUCUAAGUAUAGACAGAAACAAACCCUAUUGAGCACUACGGAUUGAGAAAAUCCUACUCAUUAAAGCAUCCUUAAAGACAUUUUUUUGUUAGCUAUGAGAAACUAUUAAAAUUAGUUUGUAUGUACUCUGUCAAAUGACCUUUUGGUAUUAUAAUAAUGGAGAAUUGAAGACAUAAGGAGCCUUGGUAAAGGCCGAUUAAUAAGAAUUCCAGGUAAGUUACUUUCAGAAUGAUAAUCUAAGCUACUAGGACAGCAGGAGCAUCACAUGUUUUCCAAAGUGAGUUCCUAGUCCUCAUCUGUGGACUUUUAUCCCUGCAUUUGUAUCUUUAUAGCAAGUCAAUAGCAGAAGAUAGUAUGGAUUUUUAAAAAUGAACGUCACUGCAUAAAUGUAACAUUCAUUCAGCACUCCCUGUGCUAAAAAUAACGGUCUAUCAUGGUGCCUAGUUCACAUUUCAUGAGAAACCUGAUCGAUGCUAUGCCCAUUUUCAGAUGAACCCGAGCUCUCAAAAGGUUCAAUAACUUUUCCAAGUUCACACAGAAAGUAAGUGCCACGGCUAGAGUUUAAACCUGUCUGCUUCCAAAGCAUGUGUUCUUAAUCCUCCUACUGGACUGUCUCCCAUAUUUUAUGUAUUACGGAGUUCUCAUUAUCUGGGAUUUUUUCGUACUAAGGCUGGAGUUUCACAUUUCAUCAAACCAGUGAAGUUAUUGAAGUUCAGCCUCAAAAAAAAACUACUUGAUUUUACAUUUUCUGACUUGGGUUCAAUUUCCUUUGACCUUGAUUUCCAUAUUUAUAGAACAGGGACAGUAAUACCAGGUCUACCACUUAAAUUACGUUGAACUUUCAGUGUUUAAUGAGAGUUCAUGUCUGGACACCUUCAAACAGUAACUCAUUCCAGAGGCCCAUCCAAGACCUACUGAAUCAAACGUCUUUGAUGGUGGGCCUGGCAAUCCCUAGUUUUUAAGUGAUUUUAUUAUUUUAUAAAAAUCAUGCAGGUUGUAUGUAAAAAUUACAAGAACAUAAAAAAAGGAAGGUGUGGGCGGUGGUGGUAGUGGUGACACUGAUGAUGGUAACAAAAACGACCCAUUCUAUUUAGUAGACAGAAUGUGCCAGAAUUUACAUACCUUGUCUCCUGCUGUCACGUUUAAUCUUCUCAACCAUCUGUAAACCUUAAAACACAUUAUUGCCCACAUUUUACAGAUAAAGCACUUGAAAUCCAAAGCGUUUGCAACAUCUGUCUUAGUUUCCUAGUGCUGCUGUGACAAAGUACCACAAACUGGGUGACUUAAAGCAACAAUGGAUGUGUACUGUCCCCUAGUUAUGGAAGCUGGAAGUGUCGACAGGGCCCUACUCCCUCCGAACCCUCUAGGGGAGGAUUUUUCCCUACCUCGUCCAGUUUCUAGUGAUCCCAGGGUAGUUCCCCUUGGCUUGUGGCUACAAAACUCCAACCUCUGCCUCCAUCUUCAGACUCUGUGUCUAUCUGCACAAGGAACUCUCCCUGUGUGUGUCUGAAUCCAAAGUUCUUUCUUCUGAGACAUUAGUCACUGAAUCAGCCUCUACCUAAUAGCAUCACCUUAAUUUGACUACAUCUACAAAGAUCCUAUGCCCAGCUAAGAUCACAUUCCCAGGUACGGGUGAUACUCUUCAACCCAUAACUGUCCAAUAGUACAGUGGCUAGUAUAGAAAAACUAGAUUUGUGAUAUGGGGAAACUAGGCAGGGAGGUUAAUUAGGAAUAAUUGAGCUGAAUUUUUUUUCAUAAUUUCUGUGUAUCACUGUACUAUAACUCCACCCCUUACCUGUCAAUCCAAUACACUCACUUUCCCAUGAUGCACCUGUGUCUCAUCUGGGACCAGGAAGGAGGAGAUGCCUUGAUGGUCAUGUAGAAGUUAAGCUCCACAUGGAGGUGCCAUGAAACUCCCAGAAAGCCUCAUGCAUACUGAACUGAACCUGUUUGUAAAUUCCACUAGGGCACCGCUGCCUACCACAUAAAAGGGACCCAUACAUGUGGAAAUGCGCCCUGUGCUUUUAGGCUUCUGGACCUUGCUUAUGGGUCCUUCUCUGGCCUCCUCCUACUCUCUCUUCUCAUAGGCAACUCUGGCCCACUCUUGACAGGUGUCUCCCCUUGUGGGGUUGCCCGCACUCUUGUGUAAAUGUAAUUUUUUAAAAAAUUAUUUAUUUGAAAGAGUUGCACAGAGGCAGAGACAGAAUGAGAUAUUACAUAUGCUGGUUCACUCCCCAAAUGGCCACAAUAGCUGGGGCCGGGUCAGGCCAAAGCUAGGAGCCAUGAACUCCAUUUAGUCUCCCAUGUGGAUGUAGGGGCCUCAGCGCUUGGGUCAUCUGCUGCUGCUUUCCCAGGGUGGAUCCGGCUGGAACAGAAGUGGAGCAGCCAGGACUCAAAUCGGUGCUCAUAUGGGAUGCCAGAGUCAUAGGCGGUAACUUAACCCACUGCCCCACAGUGCUCACCACUCUCUCUUAAAUAAAUCCAGUUCUCACUUGUGCACUGCGUCUAUGCCUUGGCUUUGAAUUCUUAUUUCUGUGGGGACAAGAACUUGGAAUAAUGGUUAAGGUACUUUAUGCCCAUAGCAUCUGCACUUAGAAGAUAAAAGGCCUGGUGCCUUGGUCAUCAGUCACCAUAUACUCUCUCAGCUGCAUGCUUGUUGGGGGAGAGGUGCAUGAUGCCUUCAGACAGGAAGAAAGUAAUAAGUGAAAAAGAAAAGUAUUCAGUAAAAAGUUAUUUAUAAGAGAACAAAAGUUAGUGCUGGUCUCAGACAUUUCCUCUGCAACAGUUAGAUGCCAAAUGACUCCGCGGGGUUGGGAAGGGAGGAGGGAGUGAUGAGCUAAGAAUGUCAUAACCAGCAAUUUGUCUUUCCGUGGGACAGGCAGGCAUUCUCAGAAACCCAGGGGCUCAGAAAAUAUUCCACUUGUUGAAAACUAUUUGAAGAUGCAUUCCAGUGGUUCAUAGGGUUUGGGGUUACACAGACCAGAAAAAGAUUUCAAAAAUAAUUUGAAAACCACCAGAGGAUUGCCAGCUUUUAACAUUGUAAGGGUGUUUAAAUCAAAUCAAACUACCAGCGAGUGUUGUAAUCAUUUCAUAAAAGACAUCAUUUUAAGGCCAACAAAUAUUAAAAGGAUAUAAUCUGGGAGCGAUUUAAAUGGAAUCAUUUAGCCUAUGGAAACAAAAAUCCUUAUUUAAUAUCAGUUUGCUCCAAAGUAGUGAAAAACUUUUUCCACAGAUAAGAUCUCACCCAUGAAUGGGUGUUGGAGAGCCAGAAAUGGACCAGAGCACCAAGAAGGACAUCAACUGCAAAUGAGACUCUGGCUCGCACUCUGUGCUUUUUGCAACCGAGGGAAAAAAACAUUUGAACGCAACUGCAAUAGUUUCCAGUUGCUAAUGAGAGUUUUGAUGGGAAAAUAAAUCGUUGCGCUGCCACUCCCUUCCAUAUGCUCUACGCUGGUAGAGGACCAGGAGUAGAACUUGUUCCCUCAACCCACGUCUCGGUUUCCAUUGAGUGUUUUCCAAGUUCUCAUGGAGAUAUCUACAAAAGGACUGCCGCGUAAGACGAUGACUUGAAGUUACAUAUGUAGCUGAUUUUCUCUCCCAGAUUCUCUGCAGAAAGAACAUGCUCCAUCUGAAACCCAGAACUGUCUAGCCAUAUAGUCAGCCCUUCCUGUUCAAGAAUCCCACAUUCUCAGAUUCAACCAACUAUAACCACCACCCCCCAAAAAUAAGAGUAUAUAUUUUGUUUAGCGACUGUACUGAAUGUGUAUAGAUGAUUUCCUUGUCAUUAUUCUCCCAUAUGAUACAGCAUAGCAACUAUUUACAUAGCAUUUACAUUUUACGAGGCAUUCUAAGUUGUACAGAGAUGAUUUAAAGCAUACGGGAGGAUGUGCAGAGGUUACUUGCAAAUCCUUUGCCAUUUUAUAGAAGAGGCUUGAGCAUCUGCAUACUUUAGUAUCCACAGCAGUCCUAGCACCAAUCCCCUGUGGGAUAAUUUUGCAUAUUAGAACAUUGAGAAAAGGACCCAUCCACUUGUGACUUGGGGCAUAUGAAGGAUGAGACUCAUCUAUGGGAUAAGAGGGAGCACCCCUCCCACCCCAAGCAAAAUUCAACCAGGACAUUCCUCCCCAUGCUUAAACCAGGAGGAACUAGAGAUCCGGAGCCAGAACCCGAGGGUGAGUGCAUGAGGCACUGACACUAAGGCUAAUGGAAGCCUUUGGUUGCUUGUUUGCACGACGCAGAGGAAACCACAGCCAUUGCAAAGCUGACAUGCAGCUGAAGGAGUAGGUGGGGGUUGAGACUCCUGCCCUGAGCCUUGUCUAACUGUAUGCUAGAAGCACAAAAUAGGCAAGGCUGGGAAUCUCCUACUUGUAACAGAUGCUCAUCUCCCCGGCAAGUGGACCCUCAACCCACUAUAACCUGAUUCUCCGUUUAAGAGCAGGGGCUCUGAAGUCCACCUGCACAUAAAUCUAAGCCCUGUCCUUUAAUGGCUCUAAUUUUUGGCUGAUUAACUCUUUCUGUGCCUCAAUUCAAAUAGAGACCAUAAUAGUACUUGUGUCAGAAGGUGGUAUUGGUGAGUUAACAGAAAAGUUAUGAGCUAGGAGUGCUAUUCCCCCACACCUAGGUUACUUAUCUCCCUUACUAGGACCGUAGUACUCGGCUAAUGAAGUUGCUAUUGUUAUUAUCAUUGCCUGAAGCAAGAUAUCACAGCCAUGUUAUAAGCAAUGAAAUCAAGAUUUAGACUAGUUCUUCCAAGGGUAUUUAUAUUAAAAUAAUUAAUGAACCAUAAAUUAGAAUUUUGACUCCACAUCUGACUCAAGGCCACACCAACUUGGUGUUUUAAAAACAUGCAAGCCGGCACUGCGGCUCACUAGGCUAAUCCUCCACCUAGUGGCGCCGACACACCGGGUUCUAGUCCCGGUCAGGGCGCCGGAUUCUGUCCCGGUUGCCCCUCUUCCAGGCCAGCUCUCUGCUGUGGCCCGCGAGUGCAGUGGAGGAUGGCCCAAGUACUUGGGUCCUGCACCCCAUGGGAGACCAGGAGAAGCACCUGGCUCCUGCCUUCGGAUCAGCAUGGUGCGCCCGUCACAGCGCGCCAGCCAUGGCGGCCAUUGGAGGGCGAACCAACGGCAAAAGGAAGACCUUUCUCUCUGUCUCUCUCUCUCACUAUCCACUCUGCCUGUCAAAAACAAAAACAAAACAAAACAAACAAACAAAAACUCAAAAAACAAAAAACAUGCAUUUAUUAUCUUCCAGUCCUGGAGGCCAGUUGUUCUAAAGAGGUUUUACUGAGCUAAAGUCAAGGUGUUGGCAGGGCUGUGUUCCUUCAGGAGGCUGGAGAGAAGUCAUUCUGUCUUUUCUGGUGUUUAAGGCACCCAUACACAUUCCUUGGCAUCUAGCCCCUUCAAAGCCAGCAAUGGCAGACUAAGUUGUUCUCGUGCCCCGCAACUUGGCAUUGCCUCUUCUGCCUUCUCUUCCAUUGCUAAGGACUUGGCUGAUUCCAUUGGGCCUGCCUGGAUAAUCUCCCUAUUUAAAGUCAGGUCCAUCCGCUACCUUUUAAGUGCCCUUUGCCUUUUAACCUCAUACAUUCGCUGAUUCCUGGCAUUAAAACACUGACAUCUUUUUUUUUUUUAAUUCAUUCAUUUAUUUGAAAAUCAGAGUUACACAGAGAGAGGAGAGGCAGAGAGAGAGAGAGAGAAUCUUCCAUCCGAUGGUUCAUUCCCCACUGGCCGAAAUGGCUGGAGCUGCACCAAUCCGAAUCCAGGAGCCAGGAGCUUCCUCUGGGUCUCCCACACGGGUGCAGGGGCCCAAGGACGCCGGCCAUCCUCCACUGCUCUCCCAGGCCACAGCGGAUCAGAAGUGGAGCAGCUGGGUCUCAAACCAGCGCCCAUAUGGGAUGCCGGCGCUUUAGGCCAGGAUGUUAACCCACUGCGCCACAGGCCAGCCCAUCACAUUGACAUCCUUAUGGGAACUUUUGUCCUGCCUACUACAAAGUCCAUGCUAAAGCCACUAAAGAUUAUCUGCAUUUCCUUAUCCUUGAGGUAGGUGUGACACAAUAGUUAGGAUGCUCCGUAGGUUGCCUGGAUCACAUCCUGUAUUGGAGGACUGGGUUGGAUUCCCAGGGCCACUCAGCUUUCCAGGUUCCUGCUAACAUGCAACCUGGUGGACAGUAUUGAUGGGAUGCUGGCAUCCUAUAUGAGUAGCAGUUCAAGUCUUGGCUGCCCUGCUUCCAAUCCAGCUCCCUGCUGACGCACUUGGGAAAGCAGUGGGAAGUGGCCCAAGUACUUGGGUCCCUGCCAUCCAUGUGGGGGACCCAGAUGGAGUUAGAAAAGUUAGAAGCAAAAUAAGGCAGGGCUCUCCAUGAAUGUAUUAAAAUGAAUUAUAAAAUUAAAAUAAUUUGGUAGUACUUGUGCAGGAAUAGGUAAACAAGAUCAUUGGAAUAAAAUAAAAAGUCGAUAGACCAAAGGAUAUGUAAGUACUUAGUGUGUGCAGUGGAGGCCUGUUAAAUCACUGUGGAAAGAAUGCUCUUAUGAAAAACAUUGCAGGGACCAAAAAUCAUCACUUGGGAGAAAAAAUGUGAUCUGGAUCUUACAUAAUAUUUCAAAAUUUACUUGAAGUAGAUGAAAAUUUUUAAAUUAGAGGAAGGUGUUUAGCCUAGUGCUUAAGAUUCCUGCAUCUCAUGUUGGAGUCCUUCAUACCUGCAUCUCAUAUUGGAGCACCUGAAUUUGAGUACCUGAACAGGCUCUUGACUCCAGCUUCCUGCUAAUGUGGACCUGAGGGGCAGUGGUUUUGGUUCAAGUAGUUGGAUUCUUACUAUGCACAUGGGAGUCCUAGAUUGAUGUCCUGGAUCGAAGUUUGGGCCCUGGCCCAGCCCUAACCAUUUCAGACAUUUGAUUAGUGAACUAGGAGAUGGAACAGCUUGCUUGCUCACUCUCUGCCUUUGAAAUCUAAAAAUUUAAUAGGAGAAAAAUAUAGGUUUUGGAUGGACAAUGUAAGUAUGACAUAUCAACAAAUGCAUGAAGAUAAUGGAAUAUGCACUUUAAACACAUUUUUAUUAAAAAUUUUUCAAGUAUUUUUAACCCCCAAAUUUAAAACUUUUCUGUGUCCCAAACAACAAAUCAAGUUAAAAAGCGAUCAAAAAUGAAACUGUACCCUAUAUAAAAAAGGAAGUUACCAGUAUUAAAAUGGAUAAUCUUAGAGAUAAAUAAUAAAUGUACAUUAUGAGUGGACAUGUUAGGUAGGAAGUCAGAUACGAGCUUAUGUGUUUGUGACAAAGGCCUAAAGAAUUGACAUCUAGGUCCAGCAUAUGCAUCUCAAAGUCAUCCUGAUAACCUUCCAGGUACAGCCCAGUAUCUGCACUUCAAAUGCUCCCUGCCCCUUCUACCUGAUAACCAUCCUUCCUCUAAGGCUCCUCUAAGGUGGGGUGAUGCCAGCCAGGCUUCCCCUCUGUCUGAUAACUUCAGGGGGAAAACUCAGAAAGGAAUUUUUUGUAUUUACAUCCAAAACGUCCUUUGUUCCAGGAGGAAAAGAGGGGAAGGCAAGGCCCAUCCCCUUAAAAACCCCCAGCCUCAACUGGACUGCAUGCUCAGCCCUCUGCCUCUCUGCUGAGCCGCCCACCUGGCCUGGCCUGGCCUGACCUGGCCAGGUGUAUUCUCUCCACUCAACCAUGUAACCUCGCUCUCCCCCAGUCUGAGUGACUGGGCACUGUCUCUCAGUUUCUCUCUUAUGAAUGUCCCUGCCCUAAUAAACCUUGCUAUUUUGCUUUCCA